CCGAAACCGACCACUACAGUCCACAGAAAACCGUUGUUAAUGGACCGAUUUACCCGAGUUACCCGUUCAACCCGAACCGACACGCUACGGGCUUAUUGGGUCGGUCGGUUUGGGCCGGAUUGCAAUAUUUUGUCCAGCCCUACUAUCAAUUAGUCUUUCGGUUGCUUUAAAAUUAAGAGAGAGAGAUAAUAAUAAUAAUAAUUUACAGACCAACUUGAUGAAUUGAAAUUAGUGUAUAUCACUAUAUUUCAAUAGAAUAGAGAUCAAAUUUGAGAGAGAAUAGUAGUUUGAGCCCUUGAGGGACAAAAUAUAUUAUUUAUUAAAUAUAAAAUUUCUUAAAAUUUGUUGUGUGAAAAUAUCAAAAACGAAAUUAUUCCAGUGAUGUUUUUACCUUAAUAAAAUUGAAUAAGAUUAAUGACUAAAAAAAUAAUAAUAGAAGAAGAUUAAAACAACUAUAAACUUUAGACGGUAGGCUAAUAACAUUUUAACACUCUUUUCAACUACAUAUAUGAUAAAUUUCACCACAAUAGAAUUCUUUGAAUUGUGUGUCUCCCUUCAUUCAUCAGGACCACUAUAUAUAUAUACACAUUAUAAUCAACUGUUACAGACUGUUACAUAUCUACAAGCCUUAGGGAUUCCAGCCAUUAAUCACAACUAUAAUCAAGCUACUCCUAAAUAUAAGGUAACUGCAACACUCAGUAGCACCACAUUAAUCUGAAAUAAAUAACAAUAAUAUCACAAUAAUCCCAAUACCCCCCCUCUGGAGCAUGAAGAUCUCGAAUGCCUAACUUGCGAAGGAGGAACUCAAAUUGUGCUUUUCCCAAGGCCUUUGUAAAAAUGUCCGCUAAUUGUACUGAUGUAGGAACAUACAGUGGACAGAUAAUUCCAGCCACCACGGCAUCACGGACAAAGUGACAAUCAGCUUCAAUAUGCUUUGUUCGUUCAUGAAACACAGGAUUUUGAGCUAUAUGCAACGCUGAUUUACUAUCACAGUAUAAUUGCAUCCCUUGGGAAUGACUAACUCCCAAAUCACCAAGUAACUGCUUGAGCCAUUUUAACUCACAUGUAGUCAUCGCCAUAGAGCGAUACUCAGCCUCUGCAGAAGAACGAGAGACGGUUGGCUGUUUCUUAGUUUUCCAAGACACCGGAGAAAGAUCAAGUAACACCACCCAUCCAGUCAAAGAACGUCUCGUAAGGGGACAACUCGCCCAAUCCGAGUCACACCAUCCCUCUAGUUUCAAUUCACUAUCAGACCGAAGUAGAAUACCUUGGCCCGGGUGUUUCUUCAAGUAUCUAACAACCCUUAAGGCUGCUUCCCAAUGCUCUUCACAUGGUUUCUGCAUAAACUGAGACAAAAUAUGUACAGAAUAGGCAAGAUCUGGUCUAGUCACAGACAAGUAAAUCAACCUCCCAAUAAGUCUUCGAUAUGGUUCUGGAUCUUCAAGUGGCUUACCAGAAACCAAUGCUAGCUUAUGGUGCUGUUCCAUCGGAAAAUCUGCAGGCUUGGCGCCUAAUAAACCUGUUUCAUCAAUAAUUUCCAACGCAUAUUUUCUCUGGCAUAGAUAGAUUCCCUCGUGAUUACGAGCUACCUCCAGCCCCAAAAAAUAUUUCAAGACUCCCAGAUCCUUCAUAUGAAAGCAUACACCUAAGUAAGCUUUAAAAAUUUUCAAGGCUGCAAUAUCAUUCCCUGCUAUAAUCAAGUCAUCCACAUAAACUAGCACGUUGAUCUGUAUUUCUCCCCUAUGCAAAGUAAAGAGUGAGUAAUCUGAAUAGGAUUGAACAAAUCCAUAUCGCUUCAAUGCCGUUACCAACUUAGCAAACCAACAACGAGGAGCUUGUUUCAAACCGUACAAUGACUUUUUCAACCUGCAAACUAGAUUUGGGUCAGUGUUUUUAAAACCUGGAGGAACUUUCAUAUACACCUCCUCUUCCAAGUCACCAUGGAGAAAGGCAUUGUGUACAUCCAUUUGAUGUACUUCCCACUUUUUAAUUGCUGCCACCGCCAAGAAGGUACGAACAGUGACCAUUUUUGCCACCGGGGCAAAUGUCUCAUCAUAGUCUAUUCCCUCUAUCUGAUGGUGCCCGAAUACAACAAGUCUUGCUUUCAAUCGUUCUAUACUCCCAUCUGAGUGAUGUUUUAUUUUAUAUACCCAUUUACUUCCGAGUGCUUUCUUCCCGGGCGGCAGUUUCUCCAUAACCCAUGUCUCAUUGUCUUCCAAGGCUUGUAUCUCAUUGCGCAUUGCAUCACGCCAACCAGAAUCUUUUACGGCUUCCUUAAAAUUAUUUGGUUCUUUCCCUGCUGUCACAGCUGCAACAAAAUUUCGAUGUCUAAUAGAAAAUCGUUCACAAGAUACAAAGUAAGUAAUAGGAUAAGGAGUACCUGAGGCAUCUUCUUGGGCAGAUGAACUUUUCGAUGACUUUACUUUUCGGAUCGUAUGAGUGACAAAAUCCUUGAGUUUUAUAUUCGGAACUUUGUUUCUCAUCCCCCUUCCCAUCUCAGAUGCCACGAUUGCCUCCCUCUCAGCAACCACCUCUGGCUCUCCGGGCUCCACAUCAUCCUCCUGCAUCACCACAACAUCAGCCCCAUCAACUUCGUGUGCGGGUUCUACCUCGCCCUCUAUACCACUUACACUUAAUCCCUCAUUGGCUGCCACAUCAGCUCCAUUACAGUCUCCGUGCAACCCCCCUUGGAGCUGUGUCUGCUCAUUGUCUUGCAAGGCCAUGGAUGCACCCCCUCCUUCAAAUGAUGCAUCAUAAGUUUCAAACCCAAUAUCUUCAGUAACAUACUCAGAAUCAAUAAAAGGAGUAGAAUGAGUUGUGUCUAGUUGCACAUCAAAUGGAAAUUCAUGUUCAUAAAAUUUCACAUCUCUAGAGACAAUGUAUUCUUUGGAUUCCAAAUCAUACAAUUUCCAUCCUUUUUUCCCAUAGGGAUACCCCACAAAUAUGCACUUGCGACUUCUACUUGCAAACUUAUCCCCGUCACGUCGUUGAUUAUGGGCAUAACAUAAGCAACCAAAAAUCUUCAUGUUAUCGAAUUUAGGAACUUUACCAAAUAGUUUUUCAUAAGGUGUCUUAUAAUUCAACACACUAGACGGUGUUCGAUUAAUCAAAUAGCACGCUGUCAACACACAUUCACCCCAGAAUUGCAUUGGUAAAUGACCCUGAAAUCUAAGUGCUCGUGCCACAUUCAUUAUAUGCUGAUGUUUUCGUUCAACUCUCCCAUUUUGUUGUGGAGUACCCACACACGACGUCUCAAACACAAUUCCGUUAUUAAAAAAAUAAUCACGUAGACAAUUAAAUUCGGUGCCAUUGUCACUACGUACUUUCUUUAUUUUCUUAUCAAAUUGUCUAUCAACAAAUGCCACAAAAUUCAGAAACAUAGUCUCAAUCUCAGUCUUAUUGCAUAACAAAUAAACCCAAACAGCACGUGAAUAAUCAUUAACAAUUGUCAAGUAAUAUUGCGCCCCACACGACGAACGAGUUCGAUAAGACCCCCAUAAGUCACAAUGAACUAAUUCAAACAAACUCGCUGCAUUAUUCUCACUUAAUGGAAAACUAUCCCUAUGUUGUUUGGCACGAGGACAAACAUCACAAGGUCUAUUAUUCUUGCUCCUACUAUGCUGACUGACAUGAGGAAUGAACUUUAACACCUUUUCUGACGGAUGACCCAAACGUUUAUGCCAUAAAUCCAUUGCUGAAUCCCCUUCCACCAUCAAGGCAUGCACCUUCGGAACACCCCGAAAAAAGUAAAGUCCAUCGAUCCGUUCACCUGCUCCAAUCAACGUCCUCGUCGUCCGGUCCUGUAUUACACACAAUGCAUUAGUAAAUUGAACGAUACAAUUAGAGUCAUCGAUUAGUUGAGUAACAGAAAUUAAGUUGCAAGUUAAUUGAGGCACAAAAAGAACAUUAUUGAGCCGCAAUCCACCAUCCAAAAUCACACUGCCCUCUUGUAUAGCAGUCGCAUCUUUCCCAUUCGGCAAGCCCACCGGAGUGUUUGUAAUUCUUUUUCCGUUAAUCAGACAAGAAAAAUUUCCUGUCACAUGGUGUGAGGCACCCGUGUCAAUAAUCCAAGAAAUAUCAUUCUUACCGUGCAGGCGAUCCUUGGUUUUGGAAAUAUUCAAAGCGUCAAGAAUUUGUUGCCAUUGCGCCGGAGUAAUGCCUGAUAUACCUGCUGCCUCACUUGAGUGUGGUGGUGCAUGAGACUGUCCACUAUUACCACCAAUACUACGGCUACUUGUCGUGGCUUUGUUGGCUCGUGCAAGUGCGUUAUAGGUGCCCCUGCCACGUCCUCCAGAACGGCCUGUUGUGUCUCUCCCUGUUGUUGCUCCGCCACGACCCGAUCCACGACCACCACGAGGACGAUCUCCCCACCACUCAGGGAAUCCAUGAAUCUGAAAACAUGUGCGUUCGUCGUGUCCUUCUCUGUUGCAGUGAGUACAGAAUUUGUCAGAAUUGUCCACAAGUUUAGAUUUACCUCGUGUAUCGGGAGCAACUUUAAAAGCCAUGACAUUAUCACGGUUCUGUUGAAUUGAAUAUUCUCCUUGCCGCAACCUCUCAUCCUGUAUGACUCGCUGAUAUGCUUGAUCAAUGUUUGGUAACGGAUCUUGAGAAAGCAAAUUUGAUCGAAUUGUUGCAUAAGCCCCAUCAAGGCCCAUAAGAAAAUGAUGCAGAUAGUCUUCAGCACUGAAAUCAGUGACUUGUUUGUUGAUAUCACAGAUGCAACCUUCACAUUUGCAUGUUGGCUUUUUGACAUAAGUCACAAGUUCGUCCCAUAUACGAGACAGACGGCCAAAGUAGGCCGACACCUCUUCACCUUUGCCUUGCUUGCAUUCUCCUAGCGAUGCCUUUAAUUGACAUAUACGAGCCCCAUUCACAACGCAAAAGCGCUGCUUAAGAUGUGUCCACAAUGAUUCUGCAUCAUCAUAAUAAGAAAGAGUAGAGCGCAGUGAUGGCUCGAUAGUGUUGAGCAACCACGCUAUGAGCAUCGACUGCACUGCUUUCCAGUCCUCCAAUUUCUCAGGUGUCGUUGGUUUUGGGAUUUUCCCUUCCACAAAACCGUAUUUUCUCUUUGCUUGGAACGAGGUUCGAAUUGCCCUUGACCAUUCAUCAUAAUUCAGACCACGCAAUUGUAUUGGUGUAAUCACGUUGCCGGGAUUGUCAUUAGAGCCGAGAAAAAAAACCAAGUCCACCUUCUUCUCGCUGUUACUACUGUUGUCGUCAACUUUCUUCCCGCCAUCACCACUGUUCUCACCCAUAAUCUCUUAUGGUGCCUGAUCUGGUAUGAGAAAAAAAAAUGUGAUUAAUUUUCCCUAGGAUAUUUGCUAGCUCGUGAUACCAUGAUAAAUUUCACCACAAUAGAAUUCUUUGAAUUGUGUGUCUCCCUUCAUUCAUCAGGACCACUAUAUAUAUAUACACAUUAUAAUCAACUGUUACAGACUGUUACAUAUCUACAAGCCUUAGGGAUUCCAGCCAUUAAUCACAACUAUAAUCAAGCUACUCCUAAAUAUAAGGUAACUGCAACACUCAGUAGCACCACAUUAAUCUGAAAUAAAUAACAAUAAUAUCACAAUAAUCCCAAUAAUAUAUGAACCCUUGCCAUGCACAAGAAAAUAUUUACCCCUUAGAAUUAGGAAAAGACAAAAAAACAAUCCCAAAUUUUAACUUUCAUAAACAAUAAAAUGUCAAUAGAGUGAAAAAUUAUAUUGGACUUAACUUAUCAUGGAUAGCUUGUGAAUUUCAUAAAAUUAUUUCAUACCGGUGUUAUCAUUAUCAUUGUUUUCUAAUUCACAUAACUUUUGAAUUUUCAUUCUUGACUUAUUAACUUAUGAAGUACUUUAUUUUAAAAAAAAAAAAAAACACUUAUGAAGUAUAUCAAAAACUUCAAAUUUGCAUUUGCUUGUGUGUUAAUGUUUUUCGUGAAUACUCCUAUCCUAUAUUCUUACUUGGACAGCUCCAACUAACCUGGUUCAAUCAGAAAAGGGAAAUGAUAGAUAAAACGAGAAAAAAAAUCCCUACAAUUUUCCGAUAGUAGAAUUGUUCAACACCUUUCCUAAAUUACAUCCCAUUGCCUCCAUGAUUUUCGUCUAAUAACAAAUUUAAUUGGCUGAAACUUUUUCUUGAUCAAUUCUUGAUAAAAAAUUUCUAGAUAAAUAACAACGCUCAUCAGAAAAUUUGUAUGUAUGGGCACAUCUCUUUCAAAAGUUUGCAUGUGUAUCGCAAUAUUCGUACCCAUAAUACAUUAAAUUUAAUCGAUAUGCAUUGAACCAACGCCAAUAUUGUUAGAUUAGAUAGCAUGGUCCAAUAUAUCAACUGUGUGUGUGAGUUUUAAGUAAUAUUUGUCACCAUGUAUAAAAAAAUUAUACAUGCACCCAGUUCCAUUCUAAUUUUUUUAUUGUACCUAGAAGUAUACAUGUAUAAUCAAUUUCCUUGUGAAGUACAUCUAAUCAUGUAUCAUAAAUCGUUGAAGCCACCAAUUGCCACUUAUUAUUACAAUUUCUAACCUCACAAACUUGCAAUUCACCAUGCAGCUACAACAGGUGGUAAUAAAGCAGCUGCAAGCAGAGUCUCAUUCACUGGAUUCUCUUUUAUACUCUUAUUGGCAUCCAUGAUGUUCAAUUAGAAAAGUGGCUCUUUACCCUUCUUAAACCUCUACUUUAUUUAUUUAAUUUUUCUAUGUAAUUUCAUACAUUGAUUGGCUACUGAGCCAUUUCAGAGUGCGUUUACUUUUCCUUCUUCGAUUUUUUUUAGUGAACUCUGAUUCAAUUUGGGUUAAAAAUUCUUAUUUAGUGAAAGUGCGUUAUUCUUGUGUUGAUAAAUCUAUCUGUGGUGUUUUUGAUAGCACCGUUUAUAUAUGAUAUGAUGUGGAUUCUCGUUCUUAUCGGUGUUAUUA
rnacentral:lncRNA from 1 species